UACGGAUUUAGCUAGCGUUGUUCGGAAUUACUGGGCGUAAAGCGCACGUAGGCGGCAAUCCAAGUCAGGGGUGAAAUCCCGGGGCUCAACCCCGGAACUGCCCUUGAAACUGGAUCGCUAGAAUCUUGGAGAGGCGAGUGGAAUUCCGAGUGUAGAGGUGAAAUUCGUAGAUAUUCGGAAGAACACCAGUGGCGAAGGCGACUCGCUGGACAAGUAUUGACGCUGAGGUGCGAAAGCGUGGGGAGCAAACAGG
rnacentral:rRNA from 1 species